GGAAAGAGUCGGAAUUCAACAAACAACCCAAGUGGAAAACAAAAAUUACAAAAACCAUAAACAAUAUUAAAAAAUAUGUGAUAGUGCCAAAUGAUGGCUUUGAAUGCAGGUGUGGGACGGCAGCCCUGCAAAAGUUAUUUGCUGAAAACAGCUGCGCAAAAUCAUAUUAAUGUCAUUAAAGGCCGGUACAUUCGGCUUGGGUACGUUAGAUUGCGAAAACCGACCAAAUUCACAAAAGCAGUGGAAAAACAAACACGUUUCUCUAAAAGACCACGAAACACGUAGGUUACGCGAACGGUUGGCUAAAGCAGAUGCGGCAAUAAUUUAGCAAGCAAGCGGAAUAACAGUGAAAGAAAAAAGCGUAAAAGUGCGAAGUACAGACGGCAUGUGUGCUCUCUCUCGCUCUGUGUGUGUGUGUGUGCAUGUUUUCGGGAAUAACAAAUGAAAAACCUAUUGGGUUUGUUUUAUGUUUUUGCUUGUGAAAUAGUUAUGUUGCAUUCCCCACAAAAUAAGUGGAACUCAUUGUGGUGGUGCGGUGGGCGACCAACAGGCUAGCAACAACAGUUAUUCAGCAGACUCUCUCUUUCCAUGCAAUGCGCUCACUCGCUCUCUCUCUCUUCGCUCAGCUGACAUGCUGCAACCUCCAGGCGAAUGCACGAAAAAGCACUUUGAUAAAUAAUUUGUUAAUACAAAGUGCAAAGCGAAGGCUGGACCGGCGCUAGCAGCGCUGCGGUCGCUCUGUCAUUCUACUCUUCUCGAUGUUUCGAAAUUCUCGAACUCCAAUUAUAAAAAUAUCAAAUUAAAUUGAAUAUUUAAACGAAAAACCGCAAAUAGAAAGUGAAGUUUACACAAAUUAAAAGCGACAACAACCGAAAAAAAUACUGCGGGGAGUGAGUGAAUUGGCCAACGGCGGUUGUGCACCGAAACGGUAAACAGCAGCAGCCACAUAUCAUAACAUUCACCAUUGUGUGUGAAAGAAGUGCAAAAAAUCGGCAGCAGAAAGCGGAGAAAGAACAACAACAGCAACAACUAAAGGAGGAGGAGGAAAGAGUAACAGCAGCACAUACAGCAUUUACUGCGUCGCAGCUUUUACCGUUGUAGAGCAGAAGCAGAAACAGCAGCAGCGCAUCGUCUCUUUUUGGCAGGGACAAACAUUUUCUGCCGGACAGAAAAGAACAAACACGAGGACAGCCAUCAAUUAAAGAGGAGGCGGAGAGCAGCACACACACAGGAAUUGCGAUUCAAGCAAUCAGAGAUCGAAAAAGAAUAUAUUUCUGCUCUGUUCUGUUCAUUUUGCGCAGAGAUUAUUC